rnacentral:rRNA from 1 species
CCCUUAGAUGUUCUGGGCUGCACGCGCGCUACACUGAAGCGUUCAACGAGUAUUCACCUUGCCCGGGAGGGUUGGGUAAUCUUUUGAAAACGCUUCGUGAUGGGGAUAGAUUAUUGCAAUUAUUAAUCUUCAACGAGGAAUUCCUAGUAAGCGCGAGUCAUCAGCUCGUGCUGAUUACGUCCCUGCCCUUUGUACACACCGCCCGUCGCUUCUACCGAUUGAGUGAUCCGGUGAAUAAUUCGGACUGCAGCACUGCUUGGUCUCCAGGCUUUGCAGCGGAAAGUUUAGUGAACCUUAUCACUUAGAGGAAGGAGAAGUCGUAACA